rnacentral:rRNA from 1 species
AGUGAACGCUGGCGGUAGGCCUAACACAUGCAAGUCGAACGGCAGCACAGUAAGAGCUUGCUCUUACUGGUGGCGAGUGGCGGACGUGUGAGGAAUACAUCGGAAUCUACUUUUUCGUGGGGGAUAACGUAGGGAAACUUACGCUAAUACCGCAUACGAACUACGGGUGAAAGCAGGAGAUCUUCGGACCUUGCGCGAUUGAAUGAGCCGAUGUCGGAUUAGCUAGUUGGCGGGGUAAAGGCCCACCAAGGCGACGAUCCGUAGCUGGUCUGAGAGGAUGAUCAGCCACACUGGAACUGAGACACGGUCCAGACUCCGACGGGAGGCAGCAGUGGGGAAUAUUGGACAAUGGGCGCAAGCCUGAUCCAGCCAUACCGCGUGGGUGAAGAAGGCCUUCGGGUUGUAAAGCCCUUUUGUUGGGAAAGAAAAGCAGCAGGUUAGUACCCCGAUGUUCUGACGGUACCCAAAGAAUAAGCACCGGCUAACUUCGUG